GCGGGAGUAGACCCCAGCCGGGGAUUCUGCGCAGCCUCGGGCGACAGACUGUGCUCUCUCCACCAAGCCUUCUGCAGGUCCUGCGGCCCUGAGCUUCCCCAAGCUAGGUGACAACAUUUCCCGCUGCCACCAUGGAUUAGGUGUCUGUCGUGAAAGGUUGUUUCCACGAGCGCAGUGAAUCCAUCAAGACCUGGAGUGAUGGCUUCUCGCUGGAUGGAAGGAGUGCCGGAGCCUCCGACCAGACCCUGCCCCUCUCAACAACUUCUCUGUCGCAGAAAGUCCCUGAUGAAGACCAGGAGACGGGGCCCAACACCAUUGUCAUACGCUGCCUGCAGUGGACCACAGUCAUCCAGAGGACCAUACACGUGGACUCUCCAGAGGGAGCUACCUGGAACACACUGAGAAGGAUACUGAAGAAAUGCUGAGCUCUGCUGGAGAGAUUAUCUACUACCAAAGUCUGUCAUGGACACAAAAAGAAAUUUUGACCACGAAAGCAGAUGUGAGAAAUUGAAGAUGGCCUACAGAGGAUUUAGAGAAAAAUAGAGGAAUUACUGAUGUUUGACUCUGGAGAUGGUGGUGAUGGUAGCUGUAAAAGAA